rnacentral:misc_RNA from 1 species
ACACCUCAACCCUCCAAUGUUUUUGCAUUGCAGGUGUUGGUAGUGAGCGCUGCCGGUCUUUGGAUCGGCUCGCUUUAAAAUCAUUAGCUGGAUCCAUUCUGACCUGGUUCUACUCGGCGUAAUAAGUUAUUAUCGUCGAGGACGCCUGGCCUUGUAGGCAGGGCGGCCACAGUAAGGGUGUUUGAACCGCUUCCAACACGUCUUGCUCUUGUAGCAAACACUUGAAC